rnacentral:rRNA from 1 species
AAAGCGCGCGUAGGUGGUUUGUUAAGUUGGAUGUGAAAUCCCCGGGCUCAACCUGGGAACUGCAUUCAAAACUGACUGACUAGAGUAUGGUAGAGGGUGGUGGAAUUUCCUGUGUAGCGGUGAAAUGCGUAGAUAUAGGAAGGAACACCAGUGGCGAAGGCGACCACCUGGACUGAUACUGACACUGAGGUGCGAAAGCGUGGGGAGCAAACAGGAUUAGAUACCCUUGU